AGGGCCCCGUGGGUGACCAGUGGUUGUGUGGGAACGAAACUGAGGUUUUCCCUGUUGGGGAGGGAGGGAGAAUCGCUGGCAAUCUUUGUGAAACCCUCCUCUACCUCUGCUCAUAGCGCAGGGGUGGGGGGCGAGAAGGGCGUAGCGUCGGGCUUGGUGGAUGGGAUGUGUGCACGUGUUAGGAUGACUCUCAGGUAUCUAGAUGUAACGUCACAACGAUACCAAAGGCUUAGUCUGUGCACCGCUUCUUCU